UCGAGGGGCAGCGGGGCGGCAGGCUUGCCUGCCGCCGCCGGCGACCGGCGCACGGGUGAGUAACACGUAUGCAACCUGCCCGUGGCAGGGGGAUAAGCGGGGGAAACCCCGUCUAAUACCGCGUAACGCGGCCUAGGGACAUCCCAAGGCCGCCAAAGGGAGCAAUCCCGGCCACGGAUGGGCAUGCGGCGCAUUAGCUAGUCGGCGGGGUAACGGCCCACCGAGGCGACGAUGCGUAGGGGUUCUGAGAGGAAGGCCCCCCACACUGGUACUGAGACACGGACCAGACUCCUACGGGAGGCAGCAGUGAGGAAUAUUGGUCAAUGGGCGCGAGCCUGAACCAGCCAAGUCGCGUGAGGGAGGACGGCCCUACGGGUUGCAAACCUCUUUUGCCGGGGAGCAACGGGCGCCACGUGUGGCGCCACUGAGAGUACCCGGAGAAAAAGCAUCGGCUAACUCCGUGCCAGCAGCCGCGGUAAUACGGAGGAUGCGAGCGUUAUCCGGAUUUAUUGGGUUUAAAGGGUGCGUAGGCGGAUCGUUAAGUCAGUGGUCAAAUUGAGGGGCUCAACCCCUUCCCGCCAUUGAAACUGGCGAUCUUGAGUGGAAGAGAAGUAUGCGGAAUGCGUGGUGUAGCGGUGAAAUGCAUAGAUAUCACGCAGAACCCCGAUUGCGAAGGCAGCAUGCCGGCUUCCUACUGACGCUGAAGCACGAAAGCGUGGGAAUCGAACAGGAUUAGAUACCCUGGUAGUCCACGCGGUAAACGAU
rnacentral:rRNA from 1 species